GUUAGGGGACUGGGUGAAAAGGGUGAAGGUAUUAAGAAAUACAAAUUAGUAGUCACAAAAUAGUUACGGGGAUGUCAAGUAGAGCAUAGGGAUGUAGCCAAUAAUAUUGUAAUAACUAGGUAUGGUGCCAGGUGGGGCCUGGAAAUAUUU